AUACGGAGGGUGCAAGCGUUAAUCGGAAUUACUGGGCGUAAAGCGCGCGUAGGCGGCUCGAUAAGUCGGAUGUGAAAGCCCCGGGCUCAACCUGGGAACUGCAUUCGAAACUGCCGAGCUAGAGUUUGAUAGAGGAGAGUGGAAUUCCACAUGUAGCGGUGAAAUGCGUAGAUAUGUGGAGGAACACCAGUGGCGAAGGCGGCUCUCUGGAUCAAAUCUGACGCUGAGGUGCGAAAGCGUGGGUAGCAAACAGGAUUAGAAACCCCGGUAGUCC
rnacentral:rRNA from 1 species